CAAGUAUUUGUUGAGUGGGUUUUCAAGGACCUCUCGGUCCAUGGGAAAGAAAGGCAUAAUCGAGCCAGCACAACAGGGUGCCCAUGGGAGAGACAAUUUGGGUGAAAUGUAGAAGAUGGGGAAUUUUGGCUGAGAAGCACACACCUGAGAGGAGUGGUGUCUUGGAAGAUUCAGAAGUGGGAAGGGUGUAGUGUGGUAUGGGACUCGGAGGGCUGGCUGGACUCUAGGGUGUGUCACUGUAUGUAUGAGUUUGUGGGGUGGGGUCAGCAGGCCAAACCAGCAGGCAGGGAGGUGCUGGAUUAUGUAAAGCCUGAAUCUGGACCAUCCUGUGAGAACUGGAGGAGGCCAACUGAAGCAUGGCACUGCCUUCCAAGGGGUUCAAACAGUCUUCAGCAUGGAGCCAAAGUACAUCAUAUACAAGGAUCAGUGUUCAAGAUGGGAUGGCUCCCCUUUACUGUAUCUGGCAAAGCCCCAUCUGGUGAAAGACCGUGUCUCUUCCUCAGACUCCACUUGCACCUCAGCAGCAGGCUGUUGUCAAAAUAACACCGGAGACUAUACUGAUGGGCUUCCUUCAAAUACGCGAUCGGAUCAGAAACUCCUGUGGGCUCACCAGAUGUCAGGAGCGAUGGGACACCAGAGGCGGAAGAACCUAUGUCCCCAGGCUACAGCAAAGCUCCCAGCCCUAUGAAAAUCAUCUAGCCUGCUCUGAGCCACAUGCCUAGAGGUCACAGAGGCAUGCGGGAAAGUGAGAGGAAGUGGAAACGUGCUACAAAAAGGGCUCAAAGCAAUGUGCUCACCACCGGAAAAAAAAAUAAAAAUAAAC
rnacentral:lncRNA from 1 species